UCGUCAGGCCGGGCCCCUCUGGCAGUCAUGCGACUGCGAUGUCGGACUGAAAUC
rfam:Pseudolabrys sp. Root1462 contig_1, whole genome shotgun sequence.